UACAGAGGGUGCAAGCGUUGUUCGGAUUUACUGGGCGUAAAGGGCGCGUAGGCGGCCCUCCUUGUCGCGUGUGAAAGCCCCGGGCUCAACCUGGGAACGGCGCGCGAGACGGGGGGGCUGGAGUUCGGGAGAGGAGCGUGGAAUUCCCAGUGUAGAGGUGAAAUUCGUAGAUAUUGGGAAGAACACCGGUGGCGAAGGCGGCGCUCUGGACCGAGACUGACGCUGAGGCGCGAAAGCGUGGGGAGCAAACAGG
rnacentral:rRNA from 1 species